rnacentral:rRNA from 1 species
AGAGUUUGAUCCUGCCUCAGGAUGAACGCUAGCGGCAGCCUAACACAUGCAAGUCGAGGGGUAGAGGAAGCUUGCUUCCUUGAGACCGGCACACGGGUGCGUAACGCGUAUGCAAUCUACCUUUUACAGAGGGAUAGCCCAGAGAAAUUUGGAUUAAUACCUCAUAGUAUAUAUCAUUCGCAUGUUUGGUAUAUUAAAGUUCCAACGGUAAAAGAUGAGCAUGCGUCCCAUUAGUUAGUUGGUAAGGUAACGGCUUACCAAGACGAUGAUGGGUAGGGGUCCUGAGAGGGAGAUCCCCCACACUGGUACUGAGACACGGACCAGACUCCUACGGGAGGCAGCAGUGAGGAAUAUUGGUCAAUGGACGCAAGUCUGAACCAGCCAUGCCGCGUGCAGGAAGACGGUCCUAUGGAUUGUAAACUGCUUUUGUACGGGAAGAAACCCUCCGACGUGUCGGAGCUUGACGGUACCGUAAGAAUAAGCAUCGGCUAACUCCGUGCCAGCAGCCGCGGUAAUACGGAGGAUGCGAGCGUUAUCCGGAAUCAUUGGGUUUAAAGGGUCCGUAGGCGGUUUAAUAAGUCAGUGGUGAAAUCUGGUCGCUCAACGAUCAAACUGCCAUUGAUACUGUUAGACUUGAAUUACUGUGAAGUAACUAGAAUAUGUAGUGUAGCGGUGAAAUGCUUAGAUAUUACAUGGAAUACCAAUUGCGAAGGCAGGUUACUAACAGUGGAUUGACGCUGAUGGACGAAAGCGUGGGGAGCGAACAGGAUUAGAUACCCUGGUAGUCCACGCCGUAAACGAUGGAUACUAGUUGUUUGGAUUUAUCUGAGUGACUAAGCGAAAGUGAUAAGUAUCCCACCUGGGGAGUACGAACGCAAGUUUGAAACUCAAAGGAAUUGACGG